AGAAAACCUGCAGCCUCUCGGCUCUUCAUGGCACAUGAUUGCCCACCCCUGCCCUAGCUGCUCCUAAUGGGUAGGUUGGCACCUUGCGUGAUGGAAAGUUGCUGCUUCCUGCUCUCACUUCUUCCUUUCGAGAUAAUACUUGUCACUUGCAUAUGGUCUGCAUUGGCUGCUGAGGCGGAAACCAGCUCCACCAUUGUGGUUUGGCCGACGUAGGUGAGCAGGAAAAACGCUGGCCUGGUUUUGCUUGGCUUGAGGUUCAGCAGGUCUGUUGUUUUCUUCUUCAAGGCCACCAGAACGAGGGUCGCUUUCACUGCGAGGGAGACGGAAGAGACUAAUGGAGGGUGGCCAGCUAAAUUUCUCUCUCAAAGAAAAUAAAGAUGAAUUUCAGUGUUGAGACAGGAA